AGUGAACGCUGGCGGUAGGCCUAACACAUGCAAGUCGAACGGCAGCACAGUAAGAGCUUGCUCUUACGGGUGGCGAGUGGCGGACGGGUGAGGAAUACAUCGGAAUCUACUUUUUCGUGGGGGAUAACGUAGGGAAACUUACGCUAAUACCGCAUACGACCUACGGGUGAAAGCAGGGGAUCUUCGGACCUUGCGCGAUUGAAUGAGCCGAUGUCGGAUUAGCUAGUUGGCGGGGUAAAGGCCCACCAAGGCGACGAUCCGUAGCUGGUCUGAGAGGAGGAUCCGCCACACUGGAACUGAGACACGGGCCCGACUCCUUCGGGUGGGAGCAGUGGGGUAUAUUGGACAAUGGGGGCGAGCCUCAUCCAGCCCUACCGGCGGGGUGGAAAAGGUCUUCUGGUUGUAAAGCCCUUUUGUUGGGAAAAAAAAGCCAGAGGUUAAUACCCCGCUGUUUUGACGGUACCCAAAGAAUAAGCCCCGGCUAACUUCGUG
rnacentral:rRNA from 1 species